rnacentral:lncRNA from 1 species
UUAAGGUCACUUAAUCGGUGCUCUUAAUUUUCUCCUCUAAUCUAGUGCUAUUUAGAUAGAAGAGGAUGUUAUUCUGAUAGAUGAGAAAUAUGAUCUUUUUUCUAUUUAUAGAUGUGAAAGGGCGAGUAUGAUUGGAUGCUUAGGUAUUCUUUCAUUAAAUACAUUCUUUCACAUAAUCCAUUCGUUCAUUAAGAGUUGUAUUUCUUAGAACCACCA